AUAGAAAACUGGUUCAAACCGGUUUCGUUCUUAUAUUUCACUGUAUAAACUACAAAAACAUUCGUUUCUAUUAUACAUUCGCCAUUUUACACUGAGACUGCACGGUCGACGUGUGACAUCUCUUCGAAAAAAAAGCUUGUUUUUGCGGCUGUAUUUUUUCAGCUUUCUUUUGACUUCCAGCCAAUACCAUGGGAAAAGCAAAGCAAACCGUUCCCCCUGAGCAAAGAAGAACCUCCCCACGACUGGCACUGAAACCGAAAGCAGCCCCCGUGGAGACUAAGAAAAAAGCUGCUCCAAAGAAGGCACCAAAAGCAAAGAAGGCCAAGCCAGCUGAGAAUGGGAACACCAAGGCUGAGGAGCCAAAGGCUGAAGCCACCGAAACCAAAUAAAUAAUGGUUGAAGAUGUGCUCA